GCUAAUACCGCAUACGAUCUAAGGAUGAAAGCGGGGAUCGCAAGACCUCGCGCGAUUGGAGCGGCCGAUAUCAGAUUAGGUAGUUGGUGAGGUAAAGGCUCACCAAGCCAACGAUCUGUAGCUGGUCUGAGAGGACGACCAGCCACACUGGAACUGAGACACGGUCCAGACUCCUACGGGAGGCAGCAGUGGGGAAUUUUGGACAAUGGACGCAAGUCUGAUCCAGCCAUUCCGCGUGCAGGAUGAAGGCCCUCGGGUUGUAAACCGUCUUUGUACGGAACGAAAGGUUUCUCUUAAUACGAGGAGCUCAUGACGGUACCGUAAGAAUAAGCACCGGCUAACUACGUG
rnacentral:rRNA from 1 species